rnacentral:rRNA from 1 species
UACGUAGGGUGCGAGCGUUGUCCGGAAUUAUUGGGCGUAAAGGGCUCGUAGGCGGUUUGUCGCGUCGGGAGUGAAAUCCACUGGCUUAACUGGUGGCUUGCUUUCGAUACGGGCAGACUGGAGGUAUGCAGGGGAGAACGGAAUUCCUGGUGUAGCGGUGAAAUGCGCAGAUAUCAGGAGGAACACCGGUGGUGUAGACGGCUCUCUGGACCGUAACUGACGCUGAGACACGAAAGCGUGGGUAGCAAACAGG